UACGUAGGGUGCGAGCGUUAAUCGGAAUUACUGGGCGUAAAGCGUGCGUAGGCGGUUCGUUAUGUCUGCUGUGAAAGCCCCGGGCUUAACCGGGAGUGGUCGGUGGAAACUGCCAGUCUGGAGGACGGUAGAGGUAGGUAGAAUUCCCGGUGUAGUGGUGAAAUGCGUAGAGAUCGGGAGGAAUACCUGUGGCGAAGGCGGCCUACUGGGCCGGACCUGACGCUGAGACGCGAAGGCGUGGGGAGCGAACGGG
rnacentral:rRNA from 1 species